AUGUUGUGCUUGUUGUGGACAAAUAAAGUGAAUGUGGGUAUCGAUACCACCAGCGGUUGCAAUUAAAUGUGCACCGUUAUGAACUUCCGUGCUUGCACCGAUAAUCAUAUUUGGUGUGACGUUAUCCAUGGUGUCAGGGUUACCUGCUUGUCCAAUACCCACAAUACGCCCAUCACGAAUACCAAUAUCGGCUUUGAUAAUGCCUAAUUUAGCAUCAAUGAUCAUCACGUUGGUAAUCACAAAAUCCAAUACAUUCGGAUUGUCGCGAGUUGCCGUACCGCUUUGAGCCAUACCAUCACGCAC
rnacentral:sRNA from 1 species